CAGUAGGGAAUCUUCGGCAAUGGACGAAAGUCUGACCGAGCAACGCCGCGUGAGUGAAGAAGGUUUUCGGAUCGUAAAACUCUGUUGGUAGAGAAGAACGUUGGUGAGAGUGGAAAGCUCAUCAAGUGACGGUAACUACCCAGAAAGGGACGGCUAACUACGUGCCAG
rnacentral:rRNA from 1 species